rnacentral:rRNA from 1 species
CUGGGGUGCUCGAGUGGCGAACGGGUGAGUAACACGUUGGUGAUCUGCCCUGCACUUCGGGAUAAGCUUGGGAAACUGGGUCUAAUACCGGAUAGGACCAUCGUUUAGUGUCGGUGGUGGAAAGUUUUUUCGGUGUGGGAUGAGCUCGCGGCCUAUCAGCUUGUUGGUGGGGUAAUGGCCUACCAAGGCGUCGACGGGUAGCCGGCCUGAGAGGGUGUACGGCCACAUUGGGACUGAGAUACGGCCCAG